AUUGGCCACUUUUGCGGUGGGGGUACACCUGUUCCCAUUCCGAACACAGCAGUUAAGCCCACCUACGCCGAUGAUACUAGUUCCGCUGGAGCUGGGAAAGUAGGGCGUGGCCAAUA
rnacentral:rRNA from 2 species